rnacentral:lncRNA from 1 species
UCUCUCCUAUUGCCUUCAUUUUCAGGUGUGUGGUACCUCUUGUUUGCUUUUUUUUUCUUUUUUGUGAAAAAAUUGAAUUAGGUAUUUGAGUCUUAAUGUUUUUUUUUUGGCUGGUAAUUUGCAGGAUUGGUGAAUAUCUUUUGUCCAUAUUUCGGUAUUUAUGUAUUGGAAGUUUUGUAUUUUGAGAUGUGAAAAUUAGGGCUAGGAAUUAUUGGUUUGUGUUGUUUUGUGGGUUAUUAUUGUGAAUAUUUUGGAAUGGGUAAUAAAUUGGGAAGGAGAAGGCAAGUGGUGGAUGAGAAGUACACUAGGCCUCAGGGGUUGUACCAACUUAAGGAUGUGGAUAUUAAGAAGCUUCGUAAGCUCAUUCUUGAUUCCAAGCUCGCGCCUUGCUAUCCUGGUGAUGAUGAUUGUCCCAACUCUGACCUCGAGGAAUGCCCCAUUUGCUUCUUGGUUUGUUUUUCAUUUCUUUCCAUUAUUCACCUUGAAAAUUUGAAACUCUGACCUCGAGGAAUGUCCCAUUUGCUUCUUGGUUUGUUUUUCAUUUCUUUCCAUUAUUCACCUUGAAAAUUUGUUGGCAUAUGUUUGUCUAGAACGCGAUUUAUAUAGUGGUCCCCAACUUGUUUAGGAUUCGGAUGCAGUUUUAGUUCUUGUAGUUCCACGGCCUAGUGGUAAAUGAAGAGACAUGAGGUCUCAGGUUCAAAAUACUCUCAUAAAUACUAGGCAUUUUCUUCCUAUCUGCCUAAGCUUUCACGGGCAGAGUUACCCGGUACCUGUGCUGGUAGAAAGAGUAGGUACUUGGUAGAAUAGUCGAGGUGCUCAAGCUGGCUCCAACAUCACCAAUAACAACUACGCCUCAGUCCCAAACAAGUUGGGGUCGGCGAUAUAGAUCCGCAUUCCUUUCAUUUAGCUCAGCUCAUAUCAUCAUAAUUACCAAAAUAAAAUGAAUUUCAAGUAAAAAAGAUAAAUAAGAAGUGUAGUAGUUUUUGUUGUUUCUUGUUGUGACUCCUCAGUUAUGUUGGACUAGCAUGGAAUUUAUCUCUAGGUAUUUGUUAUGAUUAAUACAUUUGUUCAUUUUGAACUUUGCAG